AUUUUCGUGGUGUAAAACGCACAUUAGAUUUUCAUUCUAAAAGAAUAGAUACUAUCGAAAAUA
rnacentral:tRNA from 1 species